rnacentral:rRNA from 1 species
GAACGCUGGCGGCGUGCCUAAUACAUGCAAGUCGAGCGGACAGAUGGGAGCUUGCUCCCUGAAGUCAGCGGCGGACGGGUGAGUAACACGUGGGCAACCUGCCUGUAAGACUGGGAUAACUUCGGGAAACCGGAGCUAAUACCGGAUAAUCCUUUUCCUUUCAUGAGGUAAAAGCUGAAAGACGGUUUCGGCUGUCACUUACAGAUGGGCCCGCGGCGCAUUAGCUAGUUGGUGAGGUAACGGCUCACCAAGGCGACGAUGCGUAGCCGACCUGAGAGGGUGAUCGGCCACACUGGGACUGAGACACGGCCCAGACUCCUACGGGAGGCAGCAGUAGGGAAUCUUCCGCAAUGGACGAAAGUCUGACGGAGCAACGCCGCGUGAGUGAUGAAGGCCUUCGGGUCGUAAAGCUCUGUUGUUAGGGAAGAACAAGUAUCGGAGUAACUGCCGGUACCUUGACGGUACCUAACCAGAAAGCCACGGCUAACUACGUG